AUGCAUUCGAGUAUAAGCAAUUAUACGGCGAUUCUGCGAAUGGCUCAUUAGCCAGUUAUCGUUUAUUGAUAGCCCCUUACUACUUGGAUAACCGUGGUAAUUCUAGAGCUAAUACAUGCUGAAAACCCCGAUUUCGGAAGGGAUGUAUUUAUUAGAUUAAAAACCAAUGCCCCUCGGGGCUCACUGGUGAUUCAUGAUAACUUCUCGAAUCGCACGGCCUUGCGCCGGCGAUGGCUCAUUCAAUUUCUGCCCUAUCAACUUUCGACGGCUGGAUCUGGGCCCGCCAUGGUGACAACGGGUAACGGAGGGUUAGGGCUCGACCCCGGAGAGGAGCCUGAGAAAUGGCUACCACUUUUAAGGAAGGCAGCAGGCGCGCAAAUUACCCAAUCCCGACUCGGGGAAGUAGUGACAAUAAAUACUGAUACAGGGCUCUUUUGGGUCUUGUAAAAGAAUGUUACAAUUUAAUCCCAACGAGGAACAAUUGGAGGGGCGGUUUUCAGCUCCACAGCGUAUAUUAAAGUUGUUGCAGUUAAAAAGCUCGUAGUUGAACCUUGGGCCUGGCUGGCCGGUCCGCCUCACCGCGUGCACUGGUCCGGCCGGGUCUUUCCCUCUGGGGAGCCGCAUACCCUUCACUGGGGUGUCGGGGAACCAGGACAUUUACUUUGAAAAAAUUAGAGUGUUCAAAGCAGGCUUAUGCUCGAAUACAUUAGCAUGGAAUAAUAGAAUAGACGCGCGGUUCUAUUUUGUUGGUUUCUAGGACCGCCGUAAUGAUUAAUAGGACAGUCGGGGGCAUCAGUAUUCAAUAGUCAGAGGUGAAAUUCUUGGAUCUAUUGAAGACUAACUACUGCGAAAGCAUUUGCCAAGGAUGUUUUCAUUAAUCAGGAACGAAAGUUAGGGGAUCGAACACGAUCAGAUACCGUCGUACUCUUAACCAUAAACUAUGCCGACUAGGGAUCGGACGAUGUUAUUUUUUGACUCGCUCGGCACCUUACACGAAAGUACAAGUUUCUGGGUUC
rnacentral:rRNA from 1 species